AGUGAACGCUGGCGGUAGGCCUAACACAUGCAAGUCGAACGGCAGCACAGUAAGAGCUUGCUCUUACGGGUGGCGAGUGGCGGACGGGUGAGGAAUACAUCGGAAUCUACUUUUUCGUGGGGGAUAACGUAGGGAAACUUACGCUAAUACCGCAUACGACCUACGGGUGAAAGCAGGGGAUCUUCGGACCUUGCCCGAUUGAAUGAGCCGAUGUCGGAUUAGCUAGUUGGCGGGGUAAAGGCCCACCAAGGCGACGAUCCGUAGCUGGUCUGAGAGGAUGAUCAGCCACACUGGAACUGAGACACGGUCCAGACUCCUACGGGAGGCAGCAGUAGGGAAUAUUGGACAAUGGGCGCAAGCCUGAUCCAGCAAUACCGCGUGGGUGAAGAAGGCCUUCGGGUUGUAAAGCCCUUUUGUUGGGGAAGAAAAGCAGCAGGUGAAUACCCCGCUGUUCUGACGGUACCCAAAGAAUAAGCACCGGCUAACUUCGUG
rnacentral:rRNA from 1 species